rfam:Heterocephalus glaber contig76188, whole genome shotgun sequence.
GGAUGUGAGGGCGAUCUGGGUGCAACAUCUGUCACCCCAUGGAUCGCCAGGGUUGAUUCGGCUGAUCUGGCUGGCUAGGCGGGGGUCCUCUUCCUCCCUCACCGCUCCAUGUGCGUCCCUCCCAAAGCUGCGGGCUCGGUUGAAGAGGACGACCACCCCCGAUAGAGGAGGACCGUUUCCUCCUCGGUCAAGGGUAUACGAGUAGCUGCGCUCCCCUGCUAGAACCUCCAAACAAGCUCUCAAGAAAUAUCCUUUUUCCCUCCAGUGCUGGGGACUGAAUCCAGGACCUUGCAAGUACUAGCUCAGUACCACUGAGCUACAUUU